GCGGUGGCAGUAAAACCAAGAUUACUGCGUUUGUUAAUUGAAUGCGCCUUAAUACAUGGGCUUAGAUACGUUUCAGACGCCGAGUAUAAUGAACUGAUAAAAGCCGCCAGCAAUAAUGCGAAAUAAGCCAGAGUGGUCCGAAGCGACUACUGAGUUAGCACGAGCGCAAAACGCGCAAAAAUAUAUGCAUAAACAUGCUUUACUUACAUGUAAAUUAGCCAAACACUUGAAACCGUAUGGUUGAUUUCCUUGUACUGAUUGGAUGAUCGCAGUAGUGAAUACGCGUUGACCACUAAGUGAAUCGAAAAAACCCAAACGAAUGAUUGGAAAACCUGCUCGCGACUGAAACUGUGAUAGACCGGACGAUUAUUUUAACAACAUACCUGCCAUGUAAUUUUUGAUGAUAAUAUUUGCACGAGAUAACAAACGGCUCCAUUCAUGCUGCGUAAUCAUUACUGGAAUAGCAGAGUUUGUGGAACUUGAGUAAGACAUUUUGGGAUUUUACCUAAAAAAAUCGCAUCAUUAACCCAAGCCCAGGGGCCAAAAAACUCGCAGAAAAGAAAGUGCGCCUUAAUAAUUUGAAAGCAUUUUUUGUGAUGAACUUUAAGACAUGUUCAGUGGUCAUUGACUUGUUUUUUGGGCAGCAAUAAAUCAUACUCGAGUGCUGCCUAAGGCAUCUGCCAAUCAAGCCCAACCAGAACAUA